AUUGAACGCUGGCGGCAGGCCUAACACAUGCAAGUCGAGCGGAUGAAGGGAGCUUGCUCCUGGAUUCAGCGGCGGACGGGUGAGUAAUGCCUAGGAAUCUGCCUGGUAGUGGGGGAUAACGUCCGGAAACGGGCGCUAAUACCGCAUACGUCCUGAGGGAGAAAGUGGGGGAUCUUCGGACCUCACGCUAUCAGAUGAGCCUAGGUCGGAUUAGCUAGUUGGUGGGGUAAAGGCCUACCAAGGCGACGAUCCGUAACUGGUCUGAGAGGAUGAUCAGUCACACUGGAACUGAGACACGGUCCAGACUCCUACGGGAGGCAGCAGUGGGGAAUAUUGGACAAUGGGCGAAAGCCUGAUCCAGCCAUGCCGCGUAUGUGAAGAAGGUCUUCGGAUUGUAAAGCACUUUAAGUUGGGAGGAAGGACAGUAAGUUAAUACCUUGCUGUUUUGACGUUACCAACAGAAUAAGCACCGGCUAACUUCGUG
rnacentral:rRNA from 1 species